AAACAAUAUAACCAAAUAUAUAGCCAGUCAUUCAGGUUACCUGAACUAAAGAAUUAUGCCCACAUACCAAUACAAUGUUUGCAUUUUACUAGAAUUAUGGAACUAUACACUCACCAAUAUGCCAGAAGUUUCCUUAGAAAUACUUAUGUAUUUUUUCGUCACUCGUACUGUAACAUUUUACAUCAUAGGACAACAUUUACUGGUCAUCUAUA